GGAAGUAAAAGCCGUAACAAGGUUUCCGUAGGUGAACCUGCGGAGGGAUCAUUAUUGUAUAACCGAGGUGCGAGGGCUGUCGCUGACCCGAAAGGUCGUGCACGCCUGAGUGCCCUCACACACAUCCAUCUCACCCCUAUGUGCACCACCGCGUGGGUCCCCCUUUGGCUUGUUCGGAGGGGGGCUUACGUUUUCACACAAACUUUGUAUGCAGUGUAGAAUGUAUUUUUUGUUUUUGCGAUCACGCAAUCAAUACAACUUUCAACAACGGAUCUCUUGGCUCUC
rnacentral:misc_RNA from 1 species